rnacentral:rRNA from 1 species
CCUACGGGAGGCAGCAGUAGGGAAUCUUCCACAAUGGGCGAAAGCCUGAUGGAGCAACGCCGCGUGGGUGAAGAAGGCCUUCGGAUCUUUAAACCCUGUUGGUAGAGAAGAAAGCGCGUGUGAGUAACUUCUUACGCUUCGACGGUAUCUAACCAGAUAGCCACGGCUCACUACGUCCCAGCAGCUGCUGCAAUACGUAGGUGGCAAGUGCUAUUCUGAUUUAUUGGGCGUAAAGGGAACGCAGGCGGUCAUUUAAGUCUGAUGUGAAAGCUUUCGGCUUAACCGGUGUAGUGCAUUGGAGACUGGGAGACUUGAGUGCAGAUGAGGGAGGUGGAA